CCAGACUCCUACGGGAGGCAGCAGUGGGGGAUAUUGCACAAUGGGGGGAACCCUGAUGCAGCGACGCCGCGUGGGUGAAGGAGUGCUUCGGCAUGUAAAGCCCUAUCGGCAGGGAAGAAGCAAGACGGUACCUGACUAAGAAGCACCGGCUAAAUACGUGCCAGCAGCCGCGGUAAUACGUAUGGUGCAAGCGUUAUCCGGAUUUACUGGGGGUAAAGGGAGCGUAGGCGGCGCGUUAAGUCUGAUGUGAAAACCCGAGGCUCAACCACGGGAGUGCAUUGGAAACUGGCGGGCUGGAGUGCCGGAGAGGUAAGCGGAAUUCCUAGUGUAGCGGUGAAAUGCGUAGAUAUUAGGAGGAACACCAGUGGCGAAGGCGGCUUACUGGACGGCAACUGACGCUGAGGCUCGAAAGCGUGGGGAGCAAACAGGAUUAGAUACCCCAGUAAA
rnacentral:rRNA from 1 species